GCUGAACGCUGACAGAAUGAUUACCACAUGCAAGUCAACUUUGGCGGACAGGUGCGUAACGCGUAAAGAACUUUCCUCACGGAUGGGGACAACCUUUGGAAACGAAUGCUAAUACCUGAUACUGUGAUAGAGCUUUGCGUCACAUUAGCUAGUUGGAGAGGUAACGGCUCACCAAGGCGAUGAUGGGUAGCCGGCCUGAGAAGGUGAUCGGCCACAGGGGGACUGAGACACUGGCCUUACACCGUUGGGAGGCAGCUGUUGUGAAUAUUGGACAAAGGACCAAAGUCUGAUCCAGCAAUUCUGUGUGAAUGAUGAAGUUUUCGGAAUGUAAAGGGCUUUAAGUUGGGAAGCGGUACCAACAGAAGAAGUGACGGCUAAAUACGUGCCAGCAGCCGCGGUAAUUC
rnacentral:rRNA from 1 species